GACGAACGCUGGCGGCGUGCUUAACACAUGCAAGUCGAACGAUGAAGCCGGAGCUUGCUCUGGUGAAUUAGUGGCGAACGGGUGAGUAACACGUGAGUAACCUGCCCUUGACUCUGGGAUAACUGCUAGAAAUGGUAGCUAAUACCGGAUACGACCCUCGGAGGCAUCUCCAGGGGGUGGAAAGAAUUUCGGUCAAGGAUGGACUCGCGGCCUAUCAGCUAGUUGGUGAGGUAACGGCUCACCAAGGCGACGACGGGUAGCCGGCCUGAGAGGGUGACCGGCCACACUGGGACUGUGACACGGCCCAGACUCCUACGGGAGGCAGCAGUGGGGAAUAUUGCACAAUGGGCGCAAGCCUGAUGCAGCAACGCCGCGUGAGGGAUGACGGCCUUCUGGUUGUAAACCUCUUUUAGUAGGGAAGAAGCGAAAGUGACGGUACCUGCAGAAAAAGCACCGGCUAACUACGUGCCAGCCGCCGCAGUAA
rnacentral:rRNA from 1 species